CAUCCUCCAAGGCUAAAUACUCCUGACUGACCGAUAGUGAACCAGUACCGUGAGGGAAAGGCGAAAAGAACCCCGGCGAGGGGAGUGAAAAAGAACCUGAAACCGUGUACGUACAAGCAGUGGGAGCCCCACCACCAAAGCAUUCUCUGGUGUUGAAGGCCCUGCAAAGCAGCAUCGCGGUGGCGGAGCGUCGUUUGCGACGCCCAACACACAAAACAAGCGGUGAGUGCUUUGGGGUGGGGUGACUGCGUACCUUUUGUAUAAUGGGUCAGCGACUUAUAUUCUGUAGCAAGGUUAACCGAAUAGGGGAGCCGGAGGGAAACCGAGUCUUAAUUGGGCGUUAAGUUGCAGGGUAUAGACCCGAAACCCGGUGAUCUAGCCAUGGGCAGGUUGAAGGUUGGGUAACACUAACUGGAGGACCGAACCGACUAAUGUUGAAAAAUUAGCGGAUGACUUGUGGCUGGGGGUGAAAGGCCAAUCAAACCGGGAGAUAGCUGGUUCUCCCCGAAAGCUAUUUAGGUAGCGCCUCGUGAAUUCAUCUUCGGGGGUAGAGCACUGUUUCGGCUAGGGGGUCAUCCCGACUUACCAACCCGAUGCAAACUGCGAAUACCGGAGAAUGUUAUCACGGGAGACACACGGCGGGUGCUAACGUCCGUCGUGAAGAGGGAAACAACCCAGACCGCCAGCUAAGGUCCCAAAGUCAUGGUUAAGUGGGAAACGAUGUGGGAAGGCCCAGACAGCCAGGAUGUUGGCUUAGAAGCAGCCAUCAUUUAAAGAAAGCGUAAUAGCUCACUGGUCGAGUCGGCCUGCGCGGAAGAUGUAACGGGGCUAAACCAUGCACCGAAGCUGCGGCAGCGACACUGUGUGUUGUUGGGUAGGGGAGCGUUCUGUAAGCCUGCGAAGGUGGCCUGUGAGGGUUGCUGGAGGUAUCAGAAGUGCGAAUGCUGACAUAAGUAACGAUAAAGCGGGUGAAAAGCCCGCUCGCCGGAAGACCAAGGGUUCCUGUCCAACGUUAAUCGGGGCAGG
rnacentral:rRNA from 1 species